rnacentral:rRNA from 1 species
CCUACGGGGCGCAGCAGUGGGGAAUAUUGGACAAUGGGCGAAAGCCUGAUCCAGCCAUGCCGCGUGUGUGAAGAAGGCCUUCGGGUUGUAAAGCACUUUCAGUGGGGAAGAAAGCCUUGGGGCUAAUACCCUCGAGGAAGGACAUCACCCACAGAAGAAGCACCGGCUAACUCCAUGCCAGCAGCCGCGGUAAUACGGAGGGUGCGAGCGUUAAUCGGAAUUACUGGGCGUAAAGCGCGCGUAGGCGGUCUGAUAAGCCGGUUGUGAAAGCCCCGGGCUCAACCUGGGAACGGCAUCCGGAACUGUCAGGCUAGAGUGCAGGAGAGGAAGGUAGAAUUCCCGGUGUAGCGGUGAAAUGCGUAGAGAUCGGGAGGAAUACCAGUGGCGAAGGCGGCCUUCUGGACUGACACUGACGCUGAGGUGCGAAAGCGUGGGUAGCAAACAGGAUUAGAUACCCGAGUAGUC